AGAGCCGUCAAUCCUGCCAUAACAAGAAAACAGGGAAAGGCUGGAUAGCAAGACAUCAAUAUACGUAGUGGGGGCGGGGGAACAACAACAAAAAACUUUGCACGUGUUCCCAGUUUACGGCAAUCUGUUUUUAAUCCAGAGUCGUAUUGGUAAGGUUUACAAUUUGCCUCGCAGAUAAAGGUUGUCUCCCCACGCGCUGGUUGCCACGCCAACUGUAUGCUAAUGUUAGCUUGCGUACCCAGUGAACAGUUUACAAAAUAAAAAGAAAAACUCGCGUGACCAACAGUAAAGUGGAUCAUUCUAAUUAUUUUAACAGACUUAUUGUUUCAAGCAAGCGAUAGUGACUGAACGUUUGCCUUCAGUCAUGUGCUAUCUUGCUAACGUUAGCAAAUGUCGCAACAACGCUGGCACUCACCAACUUUCGUCAUUGUCGUCUUUUUGUAGCCCACGCUAAUGUCAAAUUGCAUUCUCGUGAAUGUUUGGAACAGUAUUAUGACGCGUUUAAUUAUUAGGUCCGUUAUCCCUUGAAAUGUUGAAUGUGCAUUCGCUGUUGUUUACGUCAUUUGUAACUUGACAGCAGAUUAGGGUCAUAAUCGUUUUUGUGACCUAUUUUCGACCUGCAUCACUGAGGAUUGUUCAUGUCCUCAAUGAAUCUGGAGAGUCAAUCAUGUUUUCAUCGAACUAAUUACUAAAAUUUGUUUCAAGCUCUAUGGUGUUGUGUCGCUUAUCAUUUCAUGUUCCUUAAUUUCCCCCCAAAAUUAUUUGAGUGACUCCCCUGGUGACUCCUGACGGGACAAGCCGAAAGUCACAACAACAUUUUAUGCCCUCCUCCUCCUAUACUCUCAGCAGGGUGAGACAAAUAUGAGCAGCUUUAGUCAACCUGUCCAACACAGGACAUCAUCAUUCACAAGGGUAACACACCACGGCACAUCCAAGCAGGACUUGGAACGUGAUUCGGGCUUCUCAGAUGCCAGCUCUGAGUACCUGAGUGCAGUUGAUGGGACCGACUCUGAGGAUGCAGGCAGAAAAAGGUCCACAGUCGGCCAGGAUGCGGCCGGUGUGCAGGUGGCUGUGAUGGGAGGCUCGUAUGCUGGACUUUCCCCGAUGCUCAUUAUGAAUAACUUUGUCCUUAAUCAGCCUUCACAGGUGACUCCAGCAGAGAAACAGUGGGGCUUUCUUUCAUCUCUCGAUGUCAUACCACAAUCUCAGAUGGUUCUUCUUCAACCAAUGAUCUCGCCAAGGGCAACCCCUGAAAAUAUCCCACAGUCAAAAACCUACACAUCCACCCUCAAAUCAUAUACCAGAAUCGCCCCAAACCCAGUGGACACACCCUCUAAAAGGUCAGGAUCCUCAAGAAUGAGGGGAAGUUCAUCCUCAGCAUAUGACCAGCAACACAGGCGACAUCAACAAGGCAACAGGCAGCGCGGCACUCCCAUCCCUGAGUGGGCCCCACAGGCUCCCAGCAAAGCAAGUUUGUCCAAGUUUGAUACAUCAAACAACCGCUCAGCUCUGUCGGCUCAGAGCUCAGACCCGCUUAAGGAGAAGUGUCUCCCCUCAGUGACUGGGACCACCUCUGUGCCCCUGUGCACGUAUCAGUCUAGGACUGAACUGGGCGACACCCAGCUGUGUCCUGACAUUUACUCGGACAGCCUCUUGGCCGAGAGCAUCAAGUUGAAGCGUUUCAGCAAUACCUACAACAUCCUCAGCAACUGCGGCCUGCUGGGCAUUACUAUGCGCACCAAGCAGCUGAUCAAGGAGAACAAGCGCACCCAAAGUCAGUUGCUGCAGCUUCAGGAGCAUACGGCACUCCUGCUGGAAGCUCUGGGAAGUGGCGACCCUCAGCUGUGGACGAAACUGCAGCUCUCCCUGCAGGACGAUAACAUGUAAUGGUGCAAGCCACGCGAGCAGAGACCGUACUUUACUUGUUGGUGACUUAACUAACAAUUGUGAGGAGCCAGCAUGUCACCAACAUCAACCUUUUUCCCCCACAUGGUUUUAUAUACAUAUUCUCUGUGUCAGGUUGUUAAGGAAUGAGCCAUGAUGAGACCAAUGAGACCAGACUUACCGAGGAGUGGCAUCACUAGUGUCAUGAUGUGUCAUGGAUCUUUGAGUACGACCUUGAGACCAAACGGCAGAGCCUUGAGUGGAGAACCUCGACAUCACCAAGGCGAGAGAACGCACGACAGUCCAAGUCCAAAGUCCAAGAAAUGUUGAUGGAAUUCUUCGAUAUGAGAAGCGUCGUCCACUGCUAGUUGUUGCCACAGGGGCAGCGAUCCACCAGGACGUCUGCAAAGAAAUCCUGCUGCAUUUACUUGGUUCAGUGCGUGAGAAGAGGUGUGCGUUGUGGCAGGACAACUGCUUCACCAUGACAACGCGCCUGCUCACAAUGCCCUGACAGUUCCUGGUUGAGAAGAACAUCGCCUUCCCUACUCGCAUGACCGAGCUCCUUAUUUUUAUUUAUUUAUUUCUUUCCUUUCCCAAGCUCAAGGAGAUGGAAAAAGGGGGGACCGUUUUGAAGACGUGUAUGACAUCAAGAUGGCUCUGAUGACAGCGGCGAAUGAUCCAUGAAGAAUCUUUCCAUGAAGGCGAUUCGUGAAGGCUGGGAAAGUGCAUUAGACCGCCGGGGAGAUUAUGUACCGUAUUUUUGCGACCAUAAGGCGCACCGUAUUAAAAGGCGCAGUCUCGGUUACGGGGUCUAUUUCUGUAUUUAACACAUGCAUAAGGCACACCGUAUUAUUGGGCGCAGGCGUGGUAAAACAACGCGAGUUUAAAACGUAAGGUAGCAUGCAUGCAUGUUAGCGUAUGUUUUGAAAAAGGCAGCGGGAGCAAAACUGAGUUCGGUUGUACUUUAUUGAAGUAUUUAACAAUGUACUCACGUUAUUUGUUGAUCAAUCCUCAUCCACAAAUCCAUCAAAGUCCUCAUCUUCUGUAUCCGAAAUGAACAGCCGGGCAAGUUCUCCAUCAAACAUCCCGGGUUCCCUCUCGUCAUUGUCGGAGUCAGUCUCCUUGCCGGGGGCCUGUUCAGCAACGGUGCCGGCUUUCACGAAAGCUCGGACAACGGUCAAAAGCAGAUACCUUAGCCCAGGCAUCCGCAAUCCAUUCACAUAUGGUAGCGUAACUCACCCGGCGCUUCGUCUUCUUGACUUGGCGAAGCUCGUUUUCCUGCUUCCUCCACUUGCGAACCAUGAAUUUGUUAAUCUUGAACUCUCUCGGGGCUGCUCGAUUCCCAUGUUCCUCCGCGUAACUGACAGCUUGCAGUUUAAACUGUGCUUCGUAAGCGUGUCUCUUCGUAGGUGCCAUUUUCGGGGGUCCUUAGCCAAAUCGAUGUUGUUUUGCACAAUGCACAUACCGCCGCCAUAUACCUACUGGGGGCGUGCCUUUAGCGGCCUCUUUGACGCGCACUCUUCCCCCUUUAACGUCCGCAUGCUGUCCUUAUGUUAUACAUUAUGCAGUCAACGCAUAAUAUACAAUUAAAUGGUGGAACAUGCUAUGUUCCAUGAGAUUGAUCGGCAUUCAGUUUGUUUGGAUUUCAAAUAAGUGUUCCCCAUUACAAAUAAUGGAAAUGGAUGUUGCGUUCUCCAGUUGAAUACUUUUUUAGGUAACGUUUUAAGGAACAUUUUUGCAUUGUUAAUUGUCACGUAAGUACAAAAAGUCAGUGGGUGUUCAAUUUCAGGGAUAGGUUUCGUUGAGGGUCUAUUGUCAGCAUAAACAUUACCUUAGUAAUGCCUUAAUUUCAAUUCUGUGUUUGAUCGCCAUUCAAUUUGAGUCACACGAGUCAAUUGGAACGCUAUGACUUUUUGUAUGAGUUUCUACUUAACAAAAUGUUGAAGACUUAUUUGCUAGUCCUCCUCUAAAUAAGGUUGAAAAAAUAAUUGGAACAAAAGGAUGACUUGUAAUGACAUUUGCAGUACAGUAACAUGAUCUUCGAUACAUUGUCCCUUUAUGGCAAACAUCCAUCCAUCCAUCCAUUUUCUGAGCCGCUUCUCCUCACUCGGGUCGCGGGAGUGCUGGAGCCUAUCCCAGCUAUCAUCGGGCAGGAGGCGGGGUACACCCUGAACGGGUUGCCAGCCAAUCGCAGGGCACAUACAAACAAACAAAGAACCAUUCGCACUCACAUUCACACCUACGGGCAAUUUAGAGUUGUCAGUUAACCUACCACGCAUGUUUUUGGGAUGUGGGAGGAAACCGGAGUGCCCGGAGAAAACCCACGCAGGCACGGGGAGAACAUGCAAACUCCACACAGGUCGGGCCGGGGAUUGAACCCCAGUCCUGAGAACUGUGAGACAGACGGUGCCAUUUUUAUGGCAAACUAUACAAAUAUUAAUUUCUACAGAUGCUCUUAGAACCGUGCAACCUCAGCAGUACUUGUGAACAAAAAGAUUAUCCUACCUUUUUAAGUAUUUCCAGAGGUGGGUAGAGUAGCCAAAUAUUGUACUUAAGUAAGAGUACUCUUACUCCGAAUAUUUACUUGAGUAAUAAAGUACUCAAUGAAAAAAUGACUCGAGUUACUUGUGGGUAACUUUGAGGUGUUUUUUUUUUUUUUAAAAUCAGCAUGAACAUCAAAUAAAAUACAUUUUAAAAAAAAUAAUAUAUGGGAGUGGACCCAGACCUGCCACCAUUUACAUGAACUGCCCAAAAACCAACAACACGUGCAUUGGGCCCUACAGAAAGAUAAUUUGCUUUAUUCACUGAAAUUACUUGAUGAAGAAGCUGUUUGCUGAACAGACUUAGUGAUUGCGUGUGCAACACCAUGUGAUAGAGCUAAUUUUGCCACAUCACUACCAAUACCAUAGAAACAUCUGCAACUUACCGCAAUGUGUUUUCUCAAGUUAGAAGCGGGCUGAAAUAUCCAAGUUUGGGCAGUCACAAUUUAAGAGCUGCAUGACAAAGCUGUUGUUUUUUGGAGUCUGCAAAGUUAACACGCUCGCGCUUCUGUUUUAUUUAUUUUUUCUCCCAAAUGAGUACUUUUGAUUGGCUCGCGAAGGCUACCUGCGUGGUCAUGUGACUGCCCUGUGUCGUCUGAUUGAUUGGUGAAUUGGAGUCAAGUGACAUUAGUGAUCACGUUGGAUUGGCGCAACGGGCGCCCUAUGCGGAAGUCAAAGAUGGAGUCUAAAAGUACAAGCGCACACGCAAGAAUGGACAAAUAAAAGUAGCGAAUGGCAUGUCGAUCAUAGUAACGGAGUAAAAGUAUCGAUCCUUCUUCACAUAAAUACUCAAGUAAAAGUAAAAAGUACGGUGCAUUUAAAGUACUCUGACAAGUACAGUUUUUCGAAAAUGUUAGUUGGGUAAAUGUAACGGAGUAAAUGUAGCAUGUUACUACUCACCUGUUUAUUUGUGAUGAGAUUUUAUUCUUGUCAAAGAUAAAAGCUAUUAUUUAAUGUUCCCUAGUACAUGGACAGUUUCCCAUAGAAAUGUUGUAUUCAUUGGUUAAAAAAAAAGAAACAAGGUUUAAUUGUAUUAAGUAAAGCUAUGUAGGCCCAUAAUGUUUUUUUGCUUUGUUUCUGUUACUUCCAUACUGGUUCCUGCAGCUGGUUUUUGUUUUGUUUUUGUAACGAGGUCAUAAUCAUACUAUUAUCGCUGACAAGUAAUAGUAACAUAUCAGACUCUUGCACUUUAGUGACCAGAAUAUCGCUCUGCUUGAAUUUAUUAUUCUUUUUUUUUAAUAUGUAAAAAUGAAUGGUUAACUGUGCCUUUUGAAUACUUGGACUGAUGUACCUUUUUACAAUGUCAUACCUCCCUAAAUACACAAUGAUGACACGAAGCCUUAUAGUACAUGGAGGAGUUUUAAUGGCAAGUUGAAAUACUGCAGUUCUUUUAUUUUGUCAAAGCAUAUAAUAAUAAGCAGUAAUAAGAUGGAGACGUAAACAAAUCUGUCCUGUUUUUAACAAACAAAUUGUAACUUUCUUUUCGUAAAACGUGCCUGUAGUUGCAAAAGUCACCGUGACUUAUAGUCAUAAAACUUUGUUUGAAAAAUGA